rnacentral:lncRNA from 1 species
AGGGCAAUGGCUCAUCCUAGGGCUGAGAAGGAAAGAGAGGCUGCUUCUACCAGGUUCUCCAUCCUGCAACACAAGGUAUGUCCAAUUAUAAUUUCCAAACAAUUAAGAGCGUGACUAUGUGUUAAAGAUUAUUAAUUUAAUAAUGAGGGAGUUGGUAAAAUGGUAAAGCUGGUUCAAAGAGCAUUUUAAAAAAUAAGGGACUCUUACAUAAUCCAGGAGAGAAGGCAUUCUGAAAUAAAUUUGCCGUUAGACAGAAAAUUGGAAUAUCAUACAGGACAAUAAAAUAUAACUUUUAGGAUUAUCUAUUUUAACAGAGAGAAAUCUAUGUUACAUGUAACUUUAUUGUAUCUAAUCCCUUAAAAGCAGAUAUAUCCCCACAUAUAAUUAAUCUUUGAAUAAGCCUAUGAAAUAAUAUUCUAGUAUGACAUUGAAAGGACAUGGUGCUCACUUUUCUGCCUCAUUUCUAAGUUUUAAAAGAUUUUUUCCUAGCAGUCCCCCUAGUUUGAUCAUAAAUAAUCUGCAAAGAUUAUUCUCUAUCACAAAAAAACUGAUGGUCUUGAAAGGAGGUGUCAGCUGGGCUUCCUGGGUCAAGUAGGGGCCCAGAAAGCUGUGAAACUCACUCAUUUUUUGCAUCAGGACUUACUUCGGUCUUGGAUGAAUAAUAUUGAAGAUAUAUGCUUAAAAUAUUCCUAACAUCAGAAUUUGUGCAUGUGUUUUCUUCCCCAAGAAAGCUAUAAACAGCAAAAAUUUUGUUGUAAGCUUCCCUGUGUCCUCUCUCCCUCUCUCCCUUCCCCCUCCUCUGAAACUAAAAGGAAUGUUAAAAGCCCAUUUUUCUGUGACCAGCAGACCUUAUCUAUGCUCCCAGUUACAAUUCCUUAUAAACACAUUUGUAAAAUCCUGUGAGAUCCUGUCUCCUUUGCCAUGCAGCUGCAAGGUUAGAAAGUAGAUAAAACUUAAGUUGCAAUUCCGGUUUUCCUCAAGAUCUGAGACAUGUUAAUUGUCUUUGUUUCUCGCUCUGGUAACAUCUUCCCACUGCACGUAUUUCCCGCCUUAAAGAGUUUAAAAGGUGAUCAAAAAAUCUAAUACUGGCUACCCACUCG